rnacentral:lncRNA from 1 species
CUUCCUGUCAAAGUUUUCUAUUCUGCCAGUCUGUCCCUUUCCUGAUCUUUUGGAGUGAAGGAAAAUGAGUGGAAACAGGAGCACUGGAGGAAAGGCUUUAUUUGGGGAAGGAGCUGACAGGCUGACUCAAAUAAUGUUUGCCAUGAUAGUAGGGAAGAUGCUGAGGAUUGUCGCCACCACUGCCCAGAAACCACCCUUGCCAGUGUUAGGAAGACUGUGUAGAGAACAGCCUAAGCCAAAACAGGUAUGCAGUACUGCCCAGAAUGGGCAAGAGGAAGACCGAUUUAAAAGGCAGGAAAAGACCACUGGAAG